rnacentral:rRNA from 1 species
GCGGUCUGCCCUUCAACUCUUUUACGGUUUGGCCUCGGAUCAGGCGGGGAUACCCGCUGAACUUAAGCAUAUCAAUAAGCGGAGGAAAAGAAACCAACC